GAUGAACGCUGGCGGCGUGCCUAAUACAUGCAAGUCGAGCGAACAGACGAGGAGCUUGCUCCUCUGACGUUAGCGGCGGUCGGGUGAGUAACACGUGGAUAACCUACCUAUCAGACUGGGAUAACUAUGGGAAACCGGAGCUAAUACCGGAUAAUAUAUUGAACCGCAUGGUUCAAUAGUGAAAGACGGUUUUGCUGUCACUUAUAGAUGGAUCCGCGCCGCAUUAGCUAGUUGGUAAGGUAACGGCUUACCAAGGCAACGAUGCUUAGCCGACCUGAGCGGGUGAUCGGCCAGACGGGAACUGAGACACGGUCCAGACUCCUACGGGAGGCAGCAGUAGGGAAUCUUCCGCAAGGGGCGAAAGCCUGACAGAGCAACGUCGCGUGAGGGAUGAAGGUCUUCGGAUCGUAAAGCGCUGUUGUUAGGGAAGAACAAAUGUUUAAGUAACUAUGCACGUCUUGACGGUACCUAAUCAGAAAGCCACGGCUAACUACGUG
rnacentral:rRNA from 1 species